UGAAAGGGAUUCCGGAAAAAAGCUAUCUAACAGCAAGUUAUUAUAAUUUAUUUAGUGCGUGAAAAGCCGCACAUAUAGAAAAAAGACGAGAAGACCCUAGAAAUUUUUUAAAAGUUCAGUAAAUUCUAUUUUGUUGGGGCGACAUAGUAACACUUAACCUACUAUAUUAACAUGCUACUUAUAAGACGUAAGAUAAAAUUACUCUAGGGAUAACAGCAUAAUUUAUUAUUAAGUUUGUGACCUCGAUGUUGGACUAGGAAAUAUUUUAUCUAGAAGAUAAGUUAUCAGGCUCUGUUCGAGCUCUAUUCUCCUACAUGAUCUGAGUUCAAAC
rnacentral:rRNA from 1 species